rnacentral:rRNA from 1 species
GCGUGAGUGAAGAAGGCCUUAGGGUUGUAAAGCUCUUUUACCCGGGAUGAUAAUGACAGUACCGGGAGAAUAAGCUCCGGCUAACUCCGUGCCAGCAGCCGCGGUAAUACGGAGGGAGCUAGCGUUGUUCGGAAUCACUGGGCGUAAAGCGCACGUAGGCGGCUUUGUAAGUUAGAGGUGAAAGCCCGGGGCUCAACUCCGGAACUGCCUUUAAGACUGCAUCGCUUGAAUCUGGGAGAGGUAAGUGGAAUUCCGAGUGUAGAGGUGAAAUUCGU